CUCUGGAACUAAAGUUGUAAAUGCUGACUCAGUAUUUCCAACUAAUUAAAUCUGCUGGCUGCAUUGAUCGGCCCUCGCAUUCCUGUGUGUGUCAGGUGUAGACAUUGGAUGAGGGCCGUUGUUGCUGCCACACAACAUAAGAAACUGGACAAACAAGGAAAACAAGAUUGUCUACCUUUGAACUGGUUUGCCAUGGCUACUGUGGGAGGGAAUCUUCAUUCAUCUUCUGCCUCUGAUCUGUAAAGUAGAUGCACGGUGUCUGUCUCCAUUCGUUUUCAAAAGGUGGAAGAUAAAUAUUUCAAAUGUAAAAAUAGCAGAAAACGUUUGUGUGUGUGUGUGGUUGGUAACCAACACUGUAAACUCUUUUGAGUGUUACUGUAAAGUAGAAAGUGCAGUUGUCUUUGAUCCUCCACCAUAUGCACAUCAAAGUCAAAUGAAUGAUAAAAACACUCAAAAAAGAAGCUGUCAACACAAGAACAUUUCUGGCUCACCUCCACAAAAGGUGACUUGCACUGCGGUCUAUUAAAGCCUUGACGAAAAAUCCUGCUGCACAUCUGUUACCAACGUUAUGGUAACCAGGGGGAGGAGGUGGGUGAAGCUGACGCAGAAGCACACCUCCGGCUCGGAAGGACACAAACCGGCUGAGGAGACAUUAAAGCGCCAAGGACAGGCCGAACACACUGGCCUUUGCGUCCUCUACAUUGGACAUAAAUUCUCGGUGAAUGUGACAGAAGAUCCUUGUAGCGACAGUGGUUAACGGCAUACAGGCGCCUCUGUCCGGCUGAGCAUCUGCUUAUACCAAUAAGCUCGGAUAAAAGAUAUGGAGGUCGAGUUUCAAACUGACUCUGAAGUAGAUUUCAGCAUGUCAAACUCUCAGACUGACAAUGGCUCUACAAACUCGGCAGAAACCAAGAAAAUGGACCAGAGGACAAGUGAGAAGAAGUGCUCGUGGGCCUCCCACAUGACUAAUUCUCCAACCAUGAUUGUAAUGAUCGGCCUGCCUGCAAGAGGGAAGACCUACAUGUCAAAGAAACUCACACGGUACCUCAACUGGAUCGGAGUCCCGACGAAAGUGUUUAACUUGGGCGUGUACCGCAGGGGGGCCGUCAGAGCUUAUAAAUCCUACGAUUUCUUCCGUCACGACAACGAAGAGGCCAUGAAAAUCAGGAAACAGUGUGCUCUGGUAGCACUUCAGGACGUGAAAGCUUACCUGACGGAGGAGGGAGGUCAGAUCGCGGUUUUUGACGCAACAAACACAACAAGAGAAAGACGAGACCUCAUUCAAGCCUUUGUGAAGGAAAAUGCAUUCAAGGUUUUCUUUGUGGAGUCAGUGUGUGAUGACCCAGACGUCAUUGCUGCUAAUAUUCUGGAAGUGAAGGUUUCCAGCCCUGACUACCCUGAGACACACAGAGAGAGAGUAAUGGAUGACUUUCUGAAACGAAUCGAGUGCUACAAGGUCACAUAUCAACCAUUAGAUUCCGAUGACUAUGACAAGGACAUGUCUUUUAUCAAAGUGAUAAAUGUGGGUCGACGUUUUCUGGUGAAUCGGGUGCAGGACUACAUACAGAGUAAGAUUGUCUACUACCUCAUGAACAUCCACGUGCACUCUCACUCCAUCUACGUGUGUCGGCAUGGAGAGAGCAACCACAACAUCUCAGGCCAAAUCGGGGGAGAUUCCGAACUCUCUCCCCGAGGGAAACAGUAUGCCCAUGCACUGCGAGAUUUCAUUGAAGAGCACAAACUGUCAGAUUUGAAAGUGUGGACGAGCCAACUGAGGAGUUCCAUCCAGACGGCAGAGGAGCUUGGGGUUCCUUAUGAACAGUGGAAGAUACUCGAUGAGAUUGAUGCGGGAGUGUGUGAGGAGAUGACCUAUGAGCUAAUCCAGAAAACUUUCCCUGAAGAGUUUGCUUUGAGGGACCAGGACAAGUACCAUUAUCGCUACCCAGGAGGAGAGUCCUACCAGGAUCUUGUUCAGCGUCUGGAGCCUGUUAUCAUGGAGCUGGAGAGACAGGGCAAUGUGUUGGUUAUCUGCCACCAGGCUGUGAUGCGCUGUUUGCUGGCUUACUUUCUGGACAAAAGUGCAGAAGAUCUGCCAUACAUGAGAUGUCCGCUGCACACAGUGCUCAAGCUUACCCCUGUUGCAUACGGUUGUAAGGUGGAAAAGUUUUAUCUUAAUGUGGAGGCUGUAAACACGCACCGCGACCGGCAUAUUGCUAAAAUUCCAUGGGACUCUGCUCCCAUGCUUCGGAGGAAUAGUUACACUCCCCUGGCCAGUCAUGACCAGCUCAGGCGUCCCAGGCUCUACAGUGCGGGUAACCCCCCUUGGCUACCGCUUGCCCACACCACAGCAGGUCUGAUGCCAGAGGAACGGCUAAGCCAAGUUAGUAAAAGAGUCACAGGCUCCCCCUUUAAAUUAGCCACCAUCAACUCUAAUCAGUUACCUCCCACCACGGUAGUAACACUGUGUCUGGCAUUCCCUCGCCUCAGUCUUGGAUCUUCUUGAUGAUUAAGUGUCUUGUGUUGAACCUGACGUCCAUGGAACUCAUCUCUGUCUGUCUGUCUCUGUCGUCGUGGGCAUGUGUUAUAGUUUGAAGUAGUUGCUUGUUUCUCUUAAUAUUAUGACUGUCAGGUGUUUGUCUUGCAUGACCUCUGCUUCACCACUGGUCUGCCUCCAGCUUGAAUAUUGCAGAAUAGCAUGUGUCUCUCUCUCAUUCCCUGAGCGAAGCUCCCAGUAUGUUAGCCUUAAAAGUUAAUGAUGGAAUAUAAAAGACACACAGACAUUUAAGUGAUAUUUAAAGGUCCACUGUGUAACAUUUAGUUGGGUUUAUUGUCAGAAAUUGAAUGUUGUAUGUUUCUAUAAGUGCAUAAUCUUGUUUGGUUUCUGUAGCCUUAGAGUAAGCCUUAUAUACUGUAGGCGAGGACCAAACUUUAGAGAGGCCGCCAUCUUGCUCUGUCAUGUUCCUGCAGCAGCCUAAAUGGACACGUUUCACUUUUUGAGGUGGGAGCUUACCACGCAAAUGUAGCAGCAGAGACAGUGGAAGAGUAAAAAGUGUUUACAUGCUUUAGGUCAUGUGAAGGCCACCAGAGUUCCCUGAUGGGCUUGGGAAAUUGAGGAGUGAGCAGUGUAGUCUUCCAUUUGUUGCAUUCUGCAGUCUCUCCAUUACAUGUCACUAAUUCUUACACACUGGACCUUCAAGGAAAAUAAAUACAUAAUGUCAGAUUUGAAACCAACCAAAAAGUGUUAAAAAUUGAAAAGUGCAUAUUUGUUGGCCUUGCCUUGUGGGCAUAGUGCUUCAGCCCAUCUCCGCAUUUCUAUCUCUUUCUCUCCACUUUCUCCAAACCUCUCUUAUAGCCGCGGAUAGGAAGCAGAUGUCUGAGUCCCUGUGCGAAGGAAUCGACUUUGACAGCCCAGAAGAAACUAGUGGCUAUGUCUGCUUCUGAGUGAAGAUGAGAACCUCUUUCGUCUUUGUGCAAUCGAUGUUGGUAGACAUUCUGGGUACAAUCAUCAAUCAAACAAUAGAAAUGAGGCAACACGGAAACAAAAUCCCCUUUGUUCCCGUUUAUCUCAAGCUCCUGUUUGUAUUGCAUGUUGAAGCUUUGAAGUGGAGUCUUUAUCUUUAGUGUCAUAAACUCUUCCGCAUGUGAGCGACAAGAAAUCAAUCAACUGACAAAACUAAUCCUCAUUGUGUUGUAAACAAUAUAAAGGCUUGCUUACUAUUAAAUAUAUUGGAUAGUUACUCUGUAUGCCUCUGAAUAUGCCAGGGAUAAGUUAUACAUCAUUAUUAUCAUUAGUAGUAGUAGUAUUGAGUAUUAAAAGUAUUAAAAUACAUUUUUACUCUUGCAGACAGACUAUGUUAUAAAGUUGAUGCUGAAAAAUAUUAAAUAAGUUUUUAUAUUGUAAAAUGGCCACCAUCUGUCAUCAUAUAUUUUUAGAUUUAAGACACAACAGAUAUGAAAGAGAUUAUAGAAAAUGGUGUUGAAUCUCAUCCUUCUGUUAUGGGAGCCUUUUUGUAUGAUGUAAAAAAAUUUAAAAAUGUUUUAAAAAAGCACACCACAUUGCUGGACACAUUGUCCACAGCAGUAGGUGACAGAUGCAACAGAUGCUUUCCUGUCACACGCACAAGUUGUUCAAAAAGCUAAUUUAAUUGCUAACUUUAAAUAUUGAGCUGGUGUUAGCAUUGAAUUCAUGCCAAAAGGGGAUUUUGUGUAACCAGAAUUAAACAUGCAUGUUGGAUAUUUCUUGAUACUUUUGUUGAAACUGGUUCAUGCAAAUGUAUCUUUUGUCAAUCAA